rfam:Tilletia controversa strain DAOM 236426 scaffold_536, whole genome shotgun sequence.
GCGUGCAUAGUAUAGGGGUUAGUAUAGCUGCCUUCCAUUGAGAACAGCAGCUGACGUGAGUUCGAGUCUCGCUGCACGCA